UGUAUAUAAAACAAAAGAAAAAAAAAGAAGAAGGGAAGAAACAGAAUAGUAGAAACGAAACAGAGAGGGAAGGAAGGAAAGAAAGAAAAGAAAGAAAAAAAGGGAAAAUAUAAGGUUUGAAGCUUGAAGUUUAAUUUGCUAACGUUGUCUCGAGAAGUUUCGGCUAAGUAAGGAAAUAGCAAAGUCGACGAGGAAAAGCUUGGAAAAGCUCGAAAAAUACGGUUAAGUAAAGAUAGAAUAUGUUGAAUCAGCAUCCCAGGCCGAUCCCAAAUUCAAUGAGGGUUAGGGGGUGUUAAAAAAGUGAUCCAUGAAAGCCUGAAAGCAGCUUCAGAUCGUCAGAAGUCGUAUGCGGAUUUAAAACGAAAAGACAUUGAGUAUCAGGUCGGAGACAAAGUGUUUCUUAAAGUUUCACCUUGGUAAAAGGUGCUCAGAUUUGGCCGUAAAGGCAAAUUGAGUCCGAGGUUCAUCGGGCCAUAUGAAAUAUUCGAACGAGUUGGGCCGGUUGCAUACAGAUUGCUUCUGCCCCCUAAACUUGAAAAGAUUCACAAUGUUUUUCAUGUUUCGAUGCUUCGGCGUUAUAGAUCCGAUCCAUCCAAUGUAAUUAGUCCAUCAGAGGCUGAGAUUCGAUCUGAUUUGAGUUACGAAGAAGAACCGGUUCGUAUUUUGGCUCGUGAAGUAAAAGAACUACGAAAUAAGAAAAUCUCAUUAGUGAAAGUACUGUGGCUCAAACACGGGGUUGAAGAAGUGACUUGGGAGCCAGAAGACUCAAUGAAAGAAUGUUAUCCUAAUCUUUUCGCUAGUAAGAUUUUCGGGGACGAAAAUUUUUAAGGGGGGAGAGUUGUGUCAGCCCUAAUUUGAUCCUCGUCGGAAAGUGUUUUUGGGACCACAAAACCGAGUCAUAAAAUAUAAUUAACUGUUAUAUUCUAUGCUUAUUAUAUGUGUAAAUGCAUGUGUGAAAGUUCGAAAGUUCGAGAUUGUUGAUUUUGGCCACCGACUCGGGGAUCGUCAGCAGUUUAUCACACUAUCAAUCUUUUUGGGUACAGUUAUAUUUUGGACUCGAUAUGGCAUGUACAGGUUAGGUGAUGAUAACGAUGUUUUGAAAUUGUAAAUAUUCUGGCCAUACGAAAAUGGCGUAUAACUUAAAUAUCAGUAUGUAUUUCAGCUCGAUCAUUGUUUAUGUUUA